UACAGAGGUGCCGAGCGUUAGGCGGAAUCACUGGGCUUAAAGCGUGUGUAGGCGGACUUCUAAGUACCUUGUGAAAUCCCACGGCUCACCCGUGGAACUGCUGGGUAUACUGGUCGUCUUGAGCCACCUAGGGGCGAGCGGAACAAAUGGUGGAGCGGUGAAAUGCGUAGAUAUCAGGAGGAACACCGACGGCGAAGGCAGCGCCCUGGCCGCCAUCUGACGCUCAGGCACGAAAGCUGGGGGAGCGAACAGG
rnacentral:rRNA from 1 species